ACCUUUAAGUGUGCUGCAGCCGUGUCGCAUCGUUGGUUACGUCAUUACGCUGGCUCGUUGUUCGGCGUUAGCGAUAGUCUUUAAAUUCACGGUGCGGACACGACCAGUGGAGCAAGCUCGGGCUGUUUCACGCAGUUCCGCCUGGCCAUCAGGAUUGGUUUUGCUGUUAUUGCUCGUUCGCGAGCGAUCCUUUUGUGGAGGCAACGGUUGGUAUUUUCACGUUUCUCUCUGGAGGGAAUUUCGUUCGGUGGCCUGCGUUCUGAAGUGGCUCCUUUGGGCUCUAUCUGUGUUUUGCAGUGGUUUAUUCAGUUCGCUUUCUCCCCGCGUUCUGGAUCCAUACUCGUGACUUUUGUCUCCGAGACCAGCUGGGUAUUCGGGUUUGGUGUACAUUAAUAUUGGACUUUAGGCUGCCAGGUGCUCUCAUCUUUCCUCUAUUGGAUUUAUAACCAGCUUUGCAUCGUCGGGCUCCACUCCGGCUGUUGUUCUGCUUUCAUUGUGCUUUUAUUAUAGUAUAUUUCCACGCUGUUGCUUGUUUUGGAUUGUGGCGGCAUCCCACUGGGAGGGGCCGUGUGCCGCCAUUUCAAACAGCAGCGUGUGUGGGUUAACUUUAAUUAGUGUAUGUGUGAGGGUGUGUGGGGUGGUAAGUGGGUAUUAACCACUCGUUAUCGAGUAUGUUGUUUUUGUGAUUUGGUUUAUUUUAUUUUUUUUUGGGUUAUGAUUUCUUUGGUUGAUUUUCUUUUUGAUUUCUAUAUACAUUCUGUGGGGCAGUGGUUGGGUUUUCAGGGCCUGUGUGGGCCUCACCUUUGUUCCUCACGACUUGCUGGGUUGGUACUGGUGCCUUGCUGUGCCCUCUUGGGGAUGUGAUAUUUGCUUGGGGUGUAUAGCUUACCGUGUGUGUGUGCUGUCACUGUUUUGUAAAUUGCUCUACUGCUGGUCCCGUGGGCUCAGCUAUUCCCGGCGGGUACUGUAUAGUGUUAAUCAUAUUUUCUGUUUUCUUUUCUCUUUCUCUUUGGCAGGAUUGGGGACGAUCAGUAGUGGGGGCCAACCCAGUGGUGGUGGGUAUCCAGAGUUCACCUUUAUGGUAGUGUAGCGUCACUUGGGUGUACAGUGCAGUGUAGAUCACGUGUGGUCCUUUCAACCCACUCCGUAAGUACGGUCCUCCUGCUGGUAAGCCCUCUCUUGCCUUUCUUCUUUUAUUAUUUUGAUUUUCUAGUAUUGGUGUUUGUUCUGUAUGUUUGGUAUGUUGACGUGUUAUUCUGGUGGGCUUACCUCUAACCAUACCCGCAGUAGUGUGUAAAUAAGUGAGUAUAUGUGUGUGUGUUUGGGUGUAACCAUUUUAACAAAAGAUUUAAGAAUAUAUUGUGAAUACGCUUGAAAGUAAAUAAAUAUGUAUACGAUUAGAAAUAGAACCCUGUCUCUGUCUUGAUUGCACGGACUUGUUUGCUAUUGGGCGGGUAUCUUGUGAACUUUGGAAACCGUGAUCAAUUUGGGGCGUUUGUAAUUAUAAACUCUUUUCCCCUCGGGGGCCUAUACCCCCCGGGGGUGGCGUUGUCGAAAGUACCUUCCGGGUUUCCGCCAUCUAUCACAAAUUGGUGUUGGUCGGCAGGAUAUGCAUGAAAGCAGAGACAUUGGUUCUGUUAUCUGUUGUUUCAUGUUUGUAAUAUAAAGUUGUUAUAUGGUUGAAUGAAUGAGUAUCGCUGAAUGAGUGGCGUGAGUUUUUCUUUUAGAAGCAGAACAGCAGCCGGUGCUGGGAGCCUGUAGUCCCGUGGAG